rnacentral:rRNA from 1 species
UCCACAUGUCAUAGGAAGUGCUGCGCGAGUGAGGCCGAAACCCUAACGCCUCCACGCUAUAUAAUCGUUCUCUCGCCGCCGUGAUCCCCUCUACGCGCCGCCACCCAAAACCCUAACCUGUGCCGCCGCGCUCACAGCAACCAAGCACACCGCCGCAGCCACCAUGGCAGCCGUUCUCACCCGCCCGACGCCGGGCACCGUCCAGUGCUUCGGCCGGAAGAAGACCGCCGUCGCCGUUGCCUACUGCAAGCCCGGGCGCGGCCUCAUCAAGGUCAACGGCGCGCCGAUCGAGCUCAUCCGCCCCGAGAUGCUCCGCCUGAAGGCCUUCGAGCCGAUCCUGCUCGCCGGCAGGUCCCGCUUCAAGGACAUCGACAUGCGCAUCCGCGUUCGCGGCGGCGGGAAGACGAGCCAGAUCUACUCCAUCCGCCAGGCCAUCGCCAAGUCGCUCGUCGCCUACUACCAGAAGUACGUCGACGAGGCGGCCAAGAAGGAGGUGAAGGAGAUCUUCGGCCGCUACGACCGGACGCUCCUCGUCGCCGACCCGCGCCGCUGCGAGCCCAAGAAGUUCGGCGGUCGUGGCGCCCGCGCGCGUUUCCAGAAGUCUUACCGUUGAUCUCUGCGAGAAGUCCUCUUGGGUAUGGCGACGGUGGCGUACUGCUUGUCUACUUAUCUAUCUACCUUUUGCGGCUAGUAGUUUCCCAUCUUUUUGUCAACGAAAUGGAUUGUGAGGUGCCCGUGCAAUAUCAUUUUGCUUCAUGCCUAGUUAAAGGGAUUAUGUUAUGUUUAUCAUUAUGUUAAUGAUGAGACUGGACGUUCGGAUAAACUUUUCUUAAUUGCUUGGACCUGUUUGCGCGUGAAUUUUAGUUGAUCUGAUAGUACAAGCUUUGCACAUAACAAGAGUUGCGAUAUGCCGAUCAUUUUGUGGACUAGUGUUUGGUUUUAUAUUGGAAAAUUUGGCUGCUAGUGCAGUUUGGAGGUAUAUAAAUCAAACAUGCCCCUAGGCUGCUAGUAGCUUUGUAGAUUCAUGCUUCUGUUGCUGUGAUCUUACAGUUUCUUAUAGUUUUGGUUCCGCUAUUUAUCUGUAUCCACUGCCAAGAUUAGUGAUCUCUGCGCUAGAAAUCAUACUCCCUCCGUCCGGAAAAGCUUGUUCCAAGCUUGUCCCUCGAAUGGAUGUUGUCAUCAUUGAUGCUAAUAUGAUGUAUAUCUUUCCCAGUUAUGGCGAUUUAGCGAUUCAUGACCCA